ACCUGGCUCACACCGGUUUAAACUCAGAUCAUGUAAAAUUUCAAAGGUCGAACAGACCCAUCUUAUUAGCUUCUACACCAAUAAUUAAUUUUAAUCCAACAUCGAGGUCGCAAUCUAUUUUUUCGAUAAGAACUCUAGAAAAAAUUACGCUGUUAUCCCUAAGGUAAUUUAAUCUUUUAAUCUAAACUCUAGGAUCAAGUAUCUACAAAUAAAUAUAACAAUAAAAGAAAAGUUUAAUUAAUUUUCCUAUCACCCCAACAAAAUAAACCCAAGCAAAACAAAAUCAUACGCCCUAAAACUUAAUUUUACCCAAUCUAUCAAACUCUAUAGGGUCUUCUCGUCUUCUACAUAUAUUUAAGCUUUUUAACUUAAAAAUAAAAUUCUAAUAAAAUUUCAUAGAGACAGUCAUUCUUUCAUCAAACCGUUCAUACAAGCUUUCAAUUAAAAAACUAGUGAUUAUGCUACCUUUGCACGGUCAAUAUACCGCGGCCAUUCAAUCAAUCAUUGGGCAGGCCAGACUUGAAAUUAUAUAC
rnacentral:rRNA from 1 species